rnacentral:rRNA from 1 species
AUCCUGGCUCAGGACGAACGCUGGCGGCGUGCCUAAUACAUGCAAGUCGAGCGAAUCAAUAGGAGCUUGCUCCUGUUGGUUAGCGGCGGACGGGUGAGUAACACGUGGGCAACCUGCCUGUAAGACUGGGAUAACACCGGGAAACCGGUGCUAAUACCGGAUAAUCCUUUUCCUCUCAUGAGGAAAAGCUGAAAGUCGGUUUCGGCUGACACUUACAGAUGGGCCCGCGGCGCAUUAGCUAGUUGGUGAGGUAACGGCUCACCAAGGCGACGAUGCGUAGCCGACCUGAGAGGGUGAUCGGCCACACUGGGACUGAGACACGGCCCAGACUCCUACGGGAGGCAGCAGUAGGGAAUCUUCCACAAUGGACGAAAGUCUGAUGGAGCAACGCCGCGUGAGCGAUGAAGGCCUUCGGGUCGUAAAG